rnacentral:rRNA from 1 species
GAUGAACGCUGGCGGCGUGCCUAAUACAUGCAAGUCGAGCGAACAGACGAGGAGCUUGCUCCUCUGACGUUAGCGGCGGACGGGUGAGUAACACGUGGAUAACCUACCUAUAAGACUGGGAUAACUUCGGGAAACCGGAGCUAAUACCGGAUAAUAUAUUGAACCGCAUGGUUCAAUAGUGAAAGACGGUUUUGCUGUCACUUAUAGCUGGAUCCGCGCCGCAUUAGCUAGUUGGUAAGGUAACGGCUUACCAAGGCAACGAUGCGUAGCCGACCUGAGAGGGUGAUCGGCCACACUGGAACUGAGACACGGUCCAGACUCCUACGAGAGGCAGCAGUAGGGAAUCUUCCGCAAUGGGCGAAAGCCUGACGGAGCAACGCCGCGUGAGUGAUGAAGGUCUUCGGAUCGUAAAACUCUGUUAUUAGGGAAGAACAAAUGUGUAAGUAACUAUGCACGUCUUGACGGUACCUAAUCAGAAAGCCACGGCUAACUACGUG